rnacentral:rRNA from 1 species
UGGGGAAUAUUGCACAAUGGGCGAAAGCCUGAUGCAGCAACGCCGCGUGAGUGAUGAAGGCCUUCGGGUUGUAAAGCUCUGUCUUCUGGGACGAUAAUGACGGUACCAGAGGAGGAAGCCACGGCUAACUACGUGCCAGCAGCCGCGGUAAUACGUAGGUGGCAAGCGUUGUCCGGAUUUACUGGGCGUAAAGGAUGCGUAGGCAGAUACUUAAGUCAGAUGUGAAAAUCCCGGGCUUAACUUGGGAACUGCAUUUGAAACUGGGUAUCUAGAGUGCGGGAGAGGAAAGUGGAAUUCCUAGUGUAGCGGUGAAAUGCGUAGAGAUUAGGAAGAACACCAGUGGCGAAGGCGACUUUCUGGACCGUAACUGACGCUGAGGCAUGAAAGCGUGGGGAGCAAACA